UACAGAGGGUGCAAGCGUUAAUCGGAAUUACUGGGCGUAAAGCGCGCGUAGGUGGUUUGUUAAGUUGGAUGUGAAAGCCCCGGGCUCAACCUGGGAAUGGCGGUGGAUACUGGCGGACUAGAGUGCGGUAGAGGGUGGUGGAAUUCCCGGUGUAGAGGUGAAAUUCGUAGAUAUCGGGAGGAACACCGGUGGCGAAGGCGGCGACCUGGGUAGAUACUGACGCUGAGGCGCGAAAGCGUGGGGAGCAAACAGG
rnacentral:rRNA from 1 species